GGAUUAGAUACCCUGGUAGUCUACGCUGUAAACGAUGUGCACUUGGUGUUGGGGUUUCUAAGCCUCGGUGCCGUAGCUAACGCGUUAAGUGCACCGCCUGGGGAGUAUGCCGGCAACGGUGAAACUCAAAGGAAUUGACGGGGGCCCGCACAAGCGGUGGAGCAUGUGGUUUAAUUCGAUGAUACGCGAGAAACCUUACCAGGGUUUGACAUAUUUAUGAUCGUCUUAGAGAUAAGAUUUUCCCUUUUGGGACAUUUAUACAGGUGCUGCAUGGUUGUCGUCAGCUCGUGCCG
rnacentral:rRNA from 1 species